UUUAAGCUAACUAAAACAAAGUUUGAAGAAAUGAGAAUUAUUUCCUAAACUGAUAUAUCUGUUUAAGGUGAAGAAACUAAUCAUGCCCAGAUAAACAGAAGUUCAUGUCCUAUAUAAGGCUUUGCUCCUUUCUAUAUAAGGCUUUGCUCCUUUCUUUUUCCUUCUAUCUUAUUCUUUGCUCCUUUCUAUGUUAAGUAAAAUAGAUUAUAUCUACUAAUCUUCGCGCUACCACAACGGAUUGUUAGUCUAUGAUCAACACUUUGUUCCUUAUAUAACCUCUCAUUGGAAUCGAAGUGGUGCGAUCUCUUCUCCCGCUGCUAUGUUUGUUAUACUUUCCUCAUUUCCAUUCUUCUGACAAAACAACACAACACGUCUUAUGGCAUUGCAUUUCGACACCGGUGGUGUUAUUCUUCUUGGUUCUUCUCCCAUUGGCGGUUUCCUUAGGCCAUCUUUAUCGGUAGAAACUCUCUAGUAGAACCAAGCAAUGGCUUCCUCCAAGAAGAGGACAGGUCAAGAUUAUGAUCGUUCGCAAACUCCGCAAAUCGAUAGCUUCGAUCGGUUCACUGUGGAAGAAGAGGCGAGAUUGUAAUUAAAUAAUUGUGUACAUACUUUUUUGUUAUUUUGAUGUUUAUUAUGUCCAUACUUUGUAAGAUGUAAUCUGAUGUUAUCACGUAUGAAAAAAGGUUUUGUUA